CUAACCUCUUGUUUUGCAAUCGCUUAGUGCUACCAAUAUUAGGUAAAAGUGUAAGGGGGAGAUUUUAAAUUUUUCAGCGCCUCUUUGAUUUCUCCCCCAAAUUAAAGCGGUAGUCAAUUAUUCAAUCGCUCCAAAACCUAAUCCUCCUCAAUUGAACCAUCUACCAUCCUCUACUCGCGCAUCACUUCCGACGAUCUUUCGAUUCUAGUGCUCAGUUGCUCCAAAACCUAACCAUCCUCAAUCACUCCGAAACCCUAAUCGCCCCAAAUGUAGCAUCCGUUUGACUUUAACAACAUGAUAAUCAUUUGAUUCUAGAGAUUUUAGACUCAGAAUUGUGACAUUGCUUUGGAGGGAUAUAAAUGAGAUAAGGAGAAUGUAGGCAAAUGUGAAUUGUUUAUUUUGGAGUUGAUGAAAGUUCUGUGUUCGAAAGCUAAACUAAGAGUUUUCUCUUAUAAGUUACAGUUUAGUGCACAGAUAUCAUGGCACGUACUAUGGAUUGAGGUAGUGCUCAAGCUAGUGGUCGAGGUGUUGGACGGGCAAGAUGGUGGUCAAGCUGGUGAACGAGGUGUUGGGUGAGGUAGUAGUCAAGGUAGCGGUCUAGUCGGUGAUUGAGGGAUUUGGCGUAGUGGUUGAGGUCGAGUUUGUUCUUCCUCAACCAACUCGAUCCGUUAUCAAUUCUUUAAUUCUGGAGUUAAUUACCUAAUUAGUCCUUGUGGUUUAUAUGAAGUAAUAAUGUUAGGUACUAA